rnacentral:rRNA from 1 species
UACGGAGGAUUCAAGCGUUAUCCGGAUUUAUUGGGUUUAAAGGGUGCGUAGGCGGUCGGAUAAGUUAGAGGUGAAAUCCCGAGGCUCAACUUCGGAAUUGCCUCUGAUACUGUUCGGCUAGAGAGUAGUUGCGGUAGGCGGGAUGUAUGGUGUAGCGGUGAAAUGCUUAGAGAUCAUACAGAACUCCGAUUGCGAAGGCAGCGUACCGGCGCCCAACUGACGCUGAAGCACGAAGGCGUGGGUAUCGAACAGG